GUGGAUUAGAUACCCUGGUAGUCCACGCCGUAAACGAUGGAUGCUAGCCGUUGGUAAGCAUGCUUAUCAGUGGCGCAGCUAACGCAUUAAGCAUCCCGCCUGGGGAGUACGGCCGCAAGGUUGAAACUCAAAGGAAUUGACGGGGGCCCGCACAAGCGGUGGAGCAUGUGGUUUAAUUCGACGCAACGCGCAGAACCUUACCAGGCCUUGACAUCCCGUGCUAAGCCCAGAGAUGGGUGGUCCCCGCAAGGGGCGCGGAGACAGGUGCUGCAUGGCCGUCGACAGCU
rnacentral:rRNA from 1 species